rnacentral:rRNA from 1 species
GACGAACGCUGGCGGCUUGCCUAAUACAUGCAAGUCGAACGCAGUGGGGACGGGUGAGUAACACGUGGGUAACCUCCCAUCAGAGGGGAUACCACUUGGAAACAGGUGCUAAACCGAUACUGAUGGAUGGCCCCGCGGUGCAUUAGCUAGUUGGUGAGGUAACGGCUCACCAAGGCCACGGUGCAUAGCGGACCUGAGAGGGUGUUAGGCCACACUAGGACUAAGACACGGCACAGAAGCCUACGGGAGGCAGCAGUAGGGAAUCUGAGGCAAUGGACGAAAGUCUGACCGAGCAAAGCCGCGUGAGUGAAGAAGGUGUUAGGAUCGGAAAACUCUGUUGUUAGAGAAGCGGUAUCUAACCAGAAAGCCACGGCUAACUACGUGCCAGCAGCCGCGGUAAUAC